rnacentral:rRNA from 1 species
GACGAACGCUGGCGGCGCGCCUAACACAUGCAAGUCGAACGGAGUCAAGAGGAGCUUGCUUUUCUUGACUUAGUGGCGAACGGGUGAGUAACGCGUGAGUAACCUGCCCUGGAGUGGGGGACAACAGUUGGAAACGACUGCUAUUACCGCAUAAGCCCACGGAUCUGCAUGGAUCUGCGGGAAAAGGAUUUAUUCGCUCUAGGAUGGACUCGCGUCCAAUUAGCUAGUUGGUGAGGUAACGGCCCACCAAGGCGACGAUUGGUAGCCGGACUGAGAGGUUGAACGGCCACAUUGGGACUGAGACACGGCCCAGACUCCUACGGGAGGCAGCAGUGGGGGAUAUUGCACAAUGGGGGAAACCCUGAUGCAGCGACGCCGCGUGGAGGAAGAAGGUUUUCGGAUUGUAAACUCCUGUCGUUAGGGACGAUAAUGACGGUACCUAACAAGAAAGCACCAGCUAACUACGUG